rnacentral:rRNA from 1 species
GGCCUAAUACAUGCAAGUCGAACGGCAAGAGUUUUAGCAAUAGAACUUCUAGAGUGGCGAACGGGUGCGUAACGCGUAUGCAACCUACCCUAUACAGGGGGAUAGCCCGGAGAAAUCUGGAUUAAUACCCCAUGGUAUCAUUGAGCUGCAUGGUUUAAUGAUUAAAGAUUCAUCGGUAUAGGAUGGGCAUGCGUCUGAUUAGCUAGUUGGUGGGGUAACGGCUCACCAAGGCGACGAUCAGUAGGGGUCCUGAGAGGAAGGUCCCCCACACUGGCACUGAGAUACGGGCCAGACUCCUACGGGAGGCAGCAGUAGGGAAUAUUGGGCAAUGGACGAGAGUCUGACCCAGCCAUGCCGCGUGCAGGAAGACGGCGUUCUGCGUUGUAAACUGCUUUUAUCUGGGAAGAAAAUGCCCUUGCGAGGGAAAUUGCCGGUACCAGAUGAAUAAGCACCGGCUAACUCCGUGCCAGCAGCCGCGGUAAUACGGAGGGUGCAAGCGUUGUCCGGAUUUAUUGGGUUUAAAGGGUGCGUAGGCGGCUUUUUAAGUCAGUGGUGAAAGUUUUGGGCUCAACCCAGAAACU